UACGAAGGGGGCUAGCGUUGCUCGGAAUCACUGGGCGUAAAGGGCGCGUAGGCGGGCUCUUAAGUCAGGGGUGAAAGCCCAAGGCUCAACCUUGGAAUUGCCUUUGAUACUGAGGGCCUUGAGACCGGAAGAGGUCGGCGGAACGUGCGAGUGUAGAGGUGAAAUUCGUAGAUAUUCGCAAGAACACCAGUGGCGAAGGCGGACCGACGUGGUCCG
rnacentral:rRNA from 1 species